rnacentral:tRNA from 2 species
AUUUAUAUAAUAUAAAUAGUAUAUUUGAUUUCCAAUCAAAAAGUUUAAUAAAAAUUAAUAUAAAUA